rnacentral:rRNA from 2 species
AAAACUUUCAACAACGGAUCUCUUGGUUCUGGCAUCGAUGAAGAACGCAGCGAAAUGCGAUAAGUAAUGUGAAUCGCAGAAUUCAGUGAAUCAUCGAAUCUUUGAACGCACAUUGCACCCCCUGGCACUCAGGGGGUAUGCCUGUCCGAGCGUCGUC